CUCAGGACCUCUGGAAGAGCAGUCAGUGCUCUUAACCACUGAGCCAUCUCCACAGCCCAAUAAUAAUUAUUUUUCAAGUUACAAUUAUUAAGACACCAUGGUACUAGCACAAUAAUGACAUGUAAGGGAGCUAGAGACAACUCAACACUUAGCAGCAUUCUAAAUUAACAGAAUUGAACCCAGACCCACUCAAACCCUCAUAUUACAGUCAAUUUUUAAAAAUGUAUUCAUUUUACUUUCUAUAUAUGAGUGUUUGCCUGGAUAUAUGUUUGUGUAACGCCUUAUGUUCCCGGUGCCCACAGAGACCAGAAGAGGGCAUCAGAUCUGGAGUAACAGAGGGUCAAGAGGUACCAUGUGGGUGCUGGGAUCAAGCCCAAGUCCUCUGCAAGAGCACCAAGUGCCCUUAACCACAGAGCCAUCUCGCCAGAGCCCAUUGCGGUUUUCUGAGACACUGCACUGUAUACCCUGGCUGUCUGGAACUUAAAGGCGAAGGCAACUCAGCAGAGAAGAAUGUGGCACUGAGACAACCCAGACUCAUCAAAAGAACGAGGUUGAGCCAGACCGUGGUGGUGCUCACCUUUGUCCCAGUGCUCAGGACAUAGCAGUAGCAGUGCAUGUGGAGGUCAGAGGACAACCUGGGACCUGAAUUCUCACAUUCCACCGUCCUUGAAAUAAGGUGAGACAGCUCUCUGGCCCUUGAGCUCCUGACUCUCCUGUCUCUGCUUCCCAUCUGACCACAGAAGUGCUUGAAUUAUAGACCUGCCAAUCACUGGCAUUCUGACUUGGGUCUUCAUGCCUGUGUGGCCAGUGCUUUCCCAAAUGAGUUAUCUCCCCAGAUCGAGAGAAAGCUUCCCAAAUCUGGAAGACACACCCAGUGUCCCCAACACAAUGAGUGUAAUUUCAACACCAUACCAAGGACAAAAACUGAGUCUUCUGCUUCUGGCAGUGGUGGUUUUCUCGGCAUCUGAGGCUUACUUUGGGGUAAUUGGGCCCUAGGUAGCACGUAGUCUUAAAUGAGUAGCUUAUGGUCUCUACUGUCAGGGAACUUGCUCCCUGAAUGUAGACCAGGCUGGCCUUGACUUGAGAGAUCCACCUGCCUCUGCCACCACAGUGCUGGGAUUAAAGGUGCAGGCCACCAUCUCUG
rnacentral:lncRNA from 1 species